UUUCUCUUAGAGCAAUCUGUUGGCUUUUAGAAUGUCUUUUAAUGUCUGACAUUUUUGAGCUGUCUUUUUAUAUCAUCAGUUAGUGGUUAUAUACAGUUGUAAGUAGGUAUGACAAUCAAAAUAUUGAACCACUGGUAAGGCACAAACUGGUACUUGCUGGCUGAACAUUGGCCAUGAUUUUAGGUACAUUUUAUUUCAAAACAUGGAUGAAUUUUCUUUUUUAAGGCCUUCUCACUGAGCAUACUUGCUCUGAUCUUUAGUUAACUUACAAGUACAGGAUUUGCUUGCUUUCUUACUGUCAAUUUGUGAUACAGAAAAAAUAUUUUGUAAUCCUAGGAAGACAAAGAUUUACUGAUAUCUGAAAAUCUUUUUGCAUUUCUGAAGAUCAGAUAUUUUACUUAAAGGCCUGGUCAUAUAGAAAGCAUAUGCAGCGUAGAACAUUUUAAAGGAAUUGCUUGAAGUGCCUCAAACUUAGAAUUCUUUCAUGACAUAUUUAUAGAAGUAUUUUUCAAAUGACUAGUAAUAUAACCUAUAGUUUAUAAUAUUUUGCAUUAUUUGUACACUGUUUCAUAGACUACAAUAAUAUUUUUCCACAAAGACAAAACAAUCUUAGCUUCCUUUUAAAGCUGUCUGGACUUUAUUUCCUUAGUUGAUGUUCUGGGCAAGACAGAUGAUCAAAAUAAAUCUCCCAGCUUAAACAGUGGCAUAGAAAACUUUUGCUACAGUAAUGGGGGAGAAACUUGUCAGCCAGGCUAAACUCUAGGUAAUUCUACACAUUCCAUGGAAUCCAUGCCACUGUUGCCCUUGCUUGUAAAUAUCUUGGGAUGUUUCUAAAGGCCAAUAAGCCUGUGUUCAGACUCAAUAUUGCAUUCAUUAGUAGUAUUUCUUUCAUGAAUAUGCUAGUCAUCUGGUCUGCAAGAUAGAGUUGGAUAAAUAUGCUUAACACUACUGAGCCAUACACUGAAAAAAGUUAAGAUGAUAACUUUUAUGCUAUGUGUAUUAUUAAUUAAAAAUCAAUAGUAAUUCAGUAGGAAGAAAA